rnacentral:rRNA from 1 species
GACGAACGCUGGCGGCGUGCUUAACACAUGCAAGUCGAACGGAAAGGCCCUGCUUUUGUGGGGUGCUCGAGUGGCGAACGGGUGAGUAACACGUGAGUAACCUGCCCUUGACUUUGGGAUAACUUCAGGAAACUGGGGCUAAUACCGCAUAGGAGCUCCUGCUGCAUGGUGGGGGUUGGAAAGUUUCGGCGGUUGGGGAUGGACUCGAGGCUUAUCCGCUUGUUGGUGGGGUAGGGGCUUACCCAGGCUUGGACGGGUAGCCGGCCUGAGAGGGAGACCGGCCACAUGGGGCUAGGGGAGGCCCCAGGACGCAAUCGGGGGGAAUGGGGGGGAAAUUGACCGAGAAGGGCGGAGUGAGGGAGGAACAACUCCGGGUGGGGAAACGCUGCUUUCGGGGAAGAAACCGUUUGCCCGUGAGAGUAAGCAUGGGGAAGGGAAAUGGGUAAAAAACCACGGCUAACUUCGUG